GAGCCAGCUCUCCGUAGCUGAUGUGAGGAGCUGUGCCCAGCAGGCAUGGUCUGGGAGCAGGAGGGAGGCACCAUCUUCCCAGCAGUGUGAGUUGAAGGCAUCCAGAGCAGUGGAAUGUCAGAAAUGCCUAACAAAGAAAUAUGCUGUUUAUCCUGAAGAAAGGAAUUCUAAAUGGCAGGAUAACAAUGAGACGAUACCAGUUCGCCAAUAAAUAUCUGGAGGCAGC
rnacentral:lncRNA from 1 species